CCUACGGGUGGCAGCAGUGGGGAAUAUUGGGCAAUGGGCGCAAGCCUGACCCAGCAACGCCGCGUGAAGGAAGAAGGCUUUCGGGUUGUAAACUUCUUUUCUGAGGGACGAAGAAAGUGACGGUACCUCAGGAAUAAGCCACGGCUAACUACGUGCCAGCAGCCGCGGUAAUACGUAGGUGGCAGGCGUUAUCCGGAUUGAUUGGGUGUAAAGGGCGUGUAGGCGGGAAAGCAAGUCAGAUGUGAAAACUCAGGGCUCAACCCUGAGCCUGCAUUUGAAACUGGUUUUCUUGAGUGCUGGAGAGGCAAGCGGAAUUCCGUGUGGAGCGGGGAAAGGCAUAGAUAUAAGGAGGAACACCAGUGGCGAAGGCGGAUUGCUGGACAGUAACUGACGCUGAGGCGCGAAAGCGUGGGUAGCGAACAGGAUUAGAUACCCUUGUAGUC
rnacentral:rRNA from 1 species